rnacentral:rRNA from 1 species
AUGAACGCUGGCGGCGUGCCUAAUACAUGCAAGUCGAGCGAACAGACGAGGAGCUUGCUCCUCUGACGUUAGCGGCGGACGGGUGAGUAACACGUGGAUAACCUACCUAUAAGACUGGGAUAACUUCGGGAAACCGGAGCUAAUACCGGAUAAUAUAUUGAACCGCAUGGUUCAAUAGUGAAAGACGGUUUUGCUGUCACUUAUAGAUGGAUCCGCGCCGCAUUAGCUAGUUGGUAAGGUAACGGCUUACCAAGGCGACGAUGCGUAGCCGACCUGAGAGGGUGAACGGCCACACUGGAACUGAGACACGGUCCAGACUCCUACGGGAGGCAGCAGUAGGGAAUCUUCCGCAAUGGGCGAAAGCCUGACGGAGCAACGCCGCGUGAGUGAUGAAGGUCUUCGGAUCGUAAAACUCUGUUAUUAGGGAAGAACAAAUGUGUAAGUAACUAUGCACGUCUUGACGGUACCUAAUCAGAAAGCCACGGCUAACUACGUG